rnacentral:rRNA from 1 species
AUGAGCGCACCGGCGGCCGUCAGGGUGAUCGGCGCUUUCGACAGCCCGUUCAGCCACCGCGCCGAGGUCGCCCUGCGCCUCAAGGGCGUUCCCUACGAGCUUAUACUGGAGGAGCUCCACAACAAGAGCGAGCUGCUGCUCACGAGCAACCCCGUCCACAAGAAGGUGCCCGUGCUCCUCCAUGGCGACCGCGCCGUCUGCGAGUCACUCAUCAUCGUCGAGUACGUCGACGAGACCUUCGACGGACCACGACUCCUACCGUCCGACCCAUAUGACCGCGCCAUGGCCCGCUUCUGGGCCCGCUUCAUCGACGACAAGUGCUCGAAGCCGUUCUGGCUGGCGAUGUGGACGGACGGCGAGGCGCAGAAGGGUUUCAUGAAGGAGAUCAAGGAGAACUUCGCGCUCCUGGAGGCGCAGCUCGAGGGGAAGAGGUUCUUCGGCGGCGACACAAUUGGCCUCGUCGACAUAGCCGCCUGCGGGUUCGCGCACUGGCUCACCGUGUGCGAGGAGGUGUCCGGGGUGACGCUGGUCACCGCCAAGGAGUUCCCUCGCCUCUGCCGCUGGGCCAAGGAGUACGCCUCCGACGAGAAGGUCCGGGCGUGCCUGCCGGACAGGGCGCAGAUGCUCGCCCAUUUCACGGCCAACAAGGAGAUGUUCAUGGCCAUGGCAAAGUCAAUGCUGCCAAAAUAA